UUCACCAUGUCGCCCUAAGCACGACGGUAUAUUUGGAUUUGAAUUUUGUUAUCGUUUGACUAUCGAACUGAUAUUGCUCCUAUUAUGGGAUAUUUUGAUUCAAUAGGCUCGAAUCGUUCGACCGGUUCCAAUUUCAAAUUAUUCCACGUACCUCUAGGAUCGUGUAGGAACUUGCAAAAUCGAGAAUCAGAGUUCCGAAUACUCCUAGUCAAUGAUUAUAGGGUUAGGCAAAUUGAUCGCUGUCAGAACGUGCGAUUUGCUUAGAUUCGAUUGCUCAAUUGAGGCCAAACCUUUAGAACUUAUUUAGUAGACUUUGUUGGACUUAUAGGAACUUUCGAAUCUGAAAUCGGAGGUCGUAGGUCAGCCGGGCCAGGUUGACCAAUAUGGAAAGUUUGACCGCUCAGCUGACCAUGAGUCUUCCGAGAUUGUCUCAUCCUUCAUUAAGUACUAGAAUGACCCUAUAAACCUUCUUAAAGGUUGUGCACAUUUUGAGACCCGAAAACUAGAGUUUUGAGUUAAAGUUUGUUUUGGAUUACUUUUAUUAACUAAGUCUGUUUACCCUCUCAAAUAGGUAUUCAUUCUUCACGUACUCCAUAGGAAGAGUCCUUUCAAGGUUGGGUAGCAUUGGACUUUGGGGUGAGUGGACAUUAGUUUUUAAAUGAUCAUUGUUUUUCAAAGGAUCUGCUUGCAUAAAUGUGAUUUGAUUGGAAAUUGGUUUAUUUUGGGUGAUUGAGGUUAUGGGAUUUUAUUAUCAGGCGAGUCUCGGCUUUAACAAUGUGAUAUGUGAUUCCAACAGUAUAUGGAUUUGGGUUUCGGAUUAUGGUGAUUUUGGAUUUGGUGAUAUUGG
rnacentral:lncRNA from 1 species